rnacentral:lncRNA from 1 species
GAGGAUCUGGGCAAAUGAGAAUCAAAUGAUGGAACGACACAUAAAUUAUUUGGACAAAGUUUGGAAGGCAAUGGGAGGGUAAAGGGUCGAAUGGAGGGAACCGGAUGAAGCACAGCUGUGCAUGUGUCAUCGAAGAACGUGGAUGUGAAGCGGACAUGUAUAUUCAGCAAAAGCAUGCAGUGCAAUGGUGAUCUUGGUGAAAUUGUUUAGAAAUAUUAGGUACAAAGAUCGUAGGAAAAGGGAAGGCGGUACAUGUACACAUUGCAAACAAGUGAUGAGGUAAAGCCCUUGAUGCCUCACUCAUAGCUCACGAAAGGAAGGCACCACUAGAACAAGAGGAUGUUACAGUUACCGCAAUAGCAGAGUAGUAAAUAUGCCACUAGAAAUCCAAGAGGAGAGAUCAUGUUUGGAUGCAAAGUAUUUUUGCAACAUUGAACAUAUACUACAUU